ACGGGUGCGUAACGCGUAUGCAAUCUACCUUUGCAGAGGGAUAGCCCAGAGAAAUUUGGAUUAAUACCUCAUAGUAUAGUACUUUGGCAUCAAGGAACUAUUAAAGUCACAACGGCAAAAGAUGAGCAUGCGUCCCAUUAGCUAGUUGGUAAGGUAACGGCUUACCAAGGCUACGAUGGGUAGGGGUCCUGAGAGGGAGAUCCCCCCACACUGGUACUGAGACACGGACCAGACUCCUACGGGAGGCAGCAGUGAGGAAUAUUGGACAAUGGGCGCAAGCCUGAUCCAGCCAUGCCGCGUGCAGGAUGACGGUCCUAUGGAUUGUAAACUGCUUUUAUACAGGAAGAAACACUCCGACGUGUCGGAGCUUGACGGUACUGUAAGAAUAAGGAUCGGCUAACUCCGUG
rnacentral:rRNA from 1 species